AUUGAACGCUGGCGGCAUGCCUUACACAUGCAAGUCGAACGGCAGCACGGGAGCAAUCCUGGUGGCGAGUGGCGAACGGGUGAGUAAUAUAUCGGAACGUGCCCGGUCGUGGGGGAUAACGUAGCGAAAGCUACGCUAAUACCGCAUACGAUCUACGGAUGAAAGCGGGGGAUCGCAAGACCUCGCGCGAUUGGAGCGGCCGAUAUCAGAUUAGGUAGUUGGUGAGGUAAAGGCUCACCAAGCCGACGAUCUGUAGCUGGUCUGAGAGGACGACCAGCACACUGGGACUGAGACACGGUCCAGACUCCUACGGGAGGCAGCAGUGGGGAAUUUUGGACAAUGGGCGCAAGCCUGAUCCAGCAAUGCCGCGUGCAGGAUGAAGG
rnacentral:rRNA from 1 species